GAGAAGCGGUUAAACGGGUUGGGGCUCCUGGACUGAGGGUACUGGAGUGGUUUGGUUUUUUUGUUUGUGUCGUUUUUGUUAAGAUUUGCUCUUCUGGUUGAUGGCUUUUAGGAGUGUCCUCCUCUCCUACACCAGGACCUCUGGGAUCACAGUCUUCCCUAUGUCGUCCCUCCCCACCCCUCUGCCCGCGUCUAAGCGAUUUUUCCAGAUCCUUCUCUAUCCUCAGGACUCCCAAGUCCGGGCCUGCCUGGUGGCUGGCCCUGCUCGCCCAGGCCCACAGUGUAAUAGCUGGAGACAGGCAGAUGUGCAGUGGCGAAGAUCGGCCUCCCGUGAUUGUACCCAUGGUCCCAGGCGUGGGCACCUGAGCAGUGUGGGAAAGAGAGUGAAAGUGUGGACCCAGGAGGGACAGUUUCAGCCCAGGUGCACAGAUCGGACACAACUUUGCCCUCCCUGCAGCCUGGCAGGCCCACCGCAAAAAUGCCAUGUGCAGAUUUAUAAGAGCCAAAGACUUGUGAACGGGAAGGUUUUCUUCUCAACCCGCUGCUCCUAAGAGAGACCUGUGGAGUUCCGAGUCUGUGUGGCUAAAACCACGAAUUUCUAAUUACUGAAACAGUGGUGGCUUGAUGUGCGGCUGGUUUGAUGGAAGAUCUGUCUGGAGAGGUCCUGACUCUGCCCAGCAGAUUCGUACUACAGUUACACAGCCUGAAUGGCAACAGCACAGGAGAAAGAGGAACAAUUGAAAACAAAAGGAUUCUUCAGAGAAGAGACGGCUGGUCGUGGGCGCACGCCAUUAAUCCCAGCACUCGGGAGGCAGAGGCAGGCGGAUUUCUGAG